GCCCCCAUCUAAAUUCACAUUCCUUCCUUCUCCCCUGAGAAUUAAGGCACAUUCGAUGCUGUAUCAAUCUUUUGACGGCCAAAUGAUUUUUAUGAUACAUUUGAACGGCUUCCAUAAGUAACAUGGCAGUCCCAAGUCGUCUAUUUGUUUAGUCUUCUCAAGUGUUCGUCUAUGGAGGUUUCGAAUCCAAGUUCUUAAGCAUCUUUCUAUAGUGUCCGGACGAAAAUGUCCCUGCUUUUUUUUGCUUAAUUUGCCGUUUUGCUAUGUGCUUUUCUGUUUGCCUUUUCUCUCUUUGCUUUUCUGUUUUCUCUUUGCUUAUCUCCGUCUUCAUCUCGCUCUCUUCGUGUUGGAUCCUUCGGUUGUCUGGAGACAAUAAGAAGUACAAGGGGAUGCACUUGGCUCCCACUUUUGAGUUUACUUCCAUGAGCAGGUUCUCAAAAACGGGCAACUGGUCAGAUUAAGAAAAACAUUUUUUUUCUUAAUUUGGUAUUAACAAACCAGUUCAAGUUGUGCACUGGCUUAAGCACGGUGGAGGCUGAGAAUGUUGAUGAGGUUGUGAUUGUGGAUGCUGACAUGAUUAUCCGCAAGCAGAUUGUUCCUUAAGAACUUGGUGCUGAGAAAAGCAAGGCUCUUGCAUCAUAUUAUGGGUAUAUUACUACUGCACCUUUUUUCCGUUCAUAUAAAUGAUACUUGAUAUUGGUUAAUCAGAUUAUAUCCGGCAAGAGCAUUAUGAAUGUCAUGUAAUUACCUAUGAUGCGUGUAGGCAAUCUAUAUAUUGUUAAAUAUGUGAUACUAAUCAUUUUCUUUGUUUAUUAGAGAUUGAAGAUGUAAGUGCA